UACGUAGGGGGCAAGCGUGUCCGGAAUCAUUGGGCGUAAAGCGCGUGUAGGCGGCUCGGUAAGUCUGCUGUGAAAGUCCAGGGCUCAACCCUGGGAUGCCGGUGGAUACUGUCGAGCUCGAGUCCGGAAGAGGCGAGUGGAAUUCCUGGUGUAGCGGUGAAAUGCGCAGAUAUCAGGAGGAACACCAAUGGGCAAGGCAGCUCGCUGGGACGUGACUGACGCUGAGACGCGAAAGCGUGGGGAGCAAACAGG
rnacentral:rRNA from 1 species